rnacentral:tRNA from 1 species
GCGGGCGUGGCGGAACUGGUAGACGCGCCAGAUUUAGGUUCUGGUGUCCUUUACGGACAUGGGGGUUCAAGUCCCUCCGCCCGCACCA